ACGCUCGACACCUAGGAGGCAGCAGUGGGGAAUAUUGGGCAAUGGGCGCAAGCCUGACCCAGCAACGCCGCGUGAAGGAAGAAGGCUUUCGGGUUGUAAACUUCUUUUGUCAGGGAACAGUAGAAGAGGGUACCUGACGAAUAAGCCACGGCUAACUACGUGCCANGCGCCGAGUAUNGNGGCGGNGNGAGAG
rnacentral:rRNA from 1 species